AUUGAACGCUGGCGGCAGGCCUAACACAUGCAAGUCGAACGAGUGGCGGACGGGUGCGUAAUGUCUGGGAAACUGCCCGAUGGAGGGGGGUAACUACUGGAAACGGUAGCUAAUACCGCAUACCAUCGGAUGUGCCCAGAUGGGAUUAGCUAGUUGGUGGGGUAAAGGCUCACCUAGGCGACGCUCCCUAGCUGGUCUGAGAGGAUGACCAGCCACACUGGAACUGAGACACGGUCCAGACUCCUACGGGAGGCAGCAGUGGGGAAUAGUGCACAAUGGGCGCAAGCCGGAUGCAGCCAUGCAGCGUGUAUGAAGAAGGCCUUCGGGUUGGAAAGUAAUUUCAGCGGGGAGGCGUUACCCGCAGAAGAAGCACCGGCUAACUCCGUGCCAGCAGCCGCGGUAAUUC
rnacentral:rRNA from 1 species